AUAGGACAGAAGGACAAGAAGUGAGGCACAGGCUGAGCUAGAUCGGCAAUGCCCUGUGAUCCAGGCUGAGGCAUUGGGAUGUGCUCGUACAGGCGAUCCUGAUCUCAGCGGAUGAUGAGAUGGAGGAGUCCGACGUGGAGGAGGACCUCCGCAGACUGACCCCCCUCAAGCCUGUGAAGAAAAAGAAGCACCGCUUUGGGCUACCCGUAUGACACAUUCCCAUGCUGGGGGUGACGGGAGGGCCCCGCCAGCCGCUGGUGUGCAGAGGUCAUCCCGCAGCAUCGUUCCUUACCCUCUCUCUGCCCUUCCUUUCUACCUCUGCUCCUCUUGCUGUCUCUGCCCGCUCUCGCCUGCCCCCAGACUACUGUGACUUAAAAAGAGGGAAGAGGAGCCAGCGCCCGAGGGGGCCACUGGCGGCUGGAGGUCCCCAUUCAGUUGCACUACAAACACUGACCAAAUAUGCAAGGAAGGAGCUGUGUUUGUUUGUU
rnacentral:lncRNA from 1 species